GGAUGCAAUCAUCUAAUUAUCAAUUCUGAUAAUAUGAAGGUCAUUGACACAAUGAACAACGGAGGACGGUCUGCGGGGGCGGCUGCUGCAAUUUUUGAGGAUUGUUUUUCUAUGGCCUGUGAUUUUUCUCAAACCAAUUUUGAACAUUGUAAUAGGGAAGCGAAUAAAGUAGCUCAUGAGCUUGCUAGAUUAGCAAAAUGUUUCAUGACUAGCGAUUGGAUAGAGGAGCCCAUGAAAAAUCUUGUAACUUUCUUAUAG
rnacentral:rRNA from 1 species